rnacentral:rRNA from 1 species
AUCUUGGUUCAGGAUGAACGCUAGCUACAGGCUUAACACAUGCAAGUCGAGGGGCAGCAUUGGGGUAGCAAUACUCAGAUGGCGACCGGCGCACGGGUGAGUAACACGUAUCCAACCUGCCGCUUACUCGGGGAUAGCCUUUCGAAAGAAAGAUUAAUACCCGAUGGUAUAAAGAGUUCGCAUGUUCUCUUUAUUAAAGAAUUUCGGUAAGCGAUGGGGAUGCGUUCCAUUAGAUAGUUGGCGGGGUAACGGCCCACCAAGUCUACGAUGGAUAGGGGUUCUGAGAGGAAGGUCCCCCACAUUGGAACUGAGACACGGUCCAAACUCCUACGGGAGGCAGCAGUGAGGAAUAUUGGUCAAUGGACGAGAGUCUGAACCAGCCAAAAGUAGCGUGAAGGAUGACUGCCCUAUGGGUUGUAAACUUCUUUUAUAAGGGAAUAAAGUGAGGGACGUGUCCCUUUUUGUAUGUACCUUAUGAAUAAGGAUCGGCUAACUCCGUGCCAGCCGCCGC